CUCUCUUGAGUGAUGGUAACUUAUUUCAAACGAAAGACUUGGAUGGAGGAACCGGGAGUGUCUGCCAACUGUUCUGUACCAAAAUAAAACCAAACACCCCCUCUCCUAGAAAUGGUUAUGGUCUCUCCAGAUUAAAAGAAAGACCCUCCCUGAAGAACAUGGAAGAUCUGUAGCCAGUGCACACUUGGGAGCUGACUUUCCUGUCACUUUGGGAUAUGCAGCUGUGUACCUAGAUGACGUGGUGAUUUAUAGUCGCGAUUGGCAGCACCAUUUGAAACAUGUCCUGCAGUCCCUCACGGAGGCUGGCCUGACGGCAAACCCCACCAAAUGUGACCUUGGGAAGA